rnacentral:rRNA from 1 species
AGAGAGAGACAUGCGUGCAUAUCAAUAAGCGGAGGAAAAGAAACUAACAAGGAUUCCCUUAGUAACGGCGAGUGAAGCGGGAAGAGCUCAAAUUUGAAAUCUUCAAGGUUUUACCUUGACGAAUUGUAGUUUAAAGAAGUGUUUUCUGCUGAAGUUUUGGUAAAAGUUCUUUGGAAUAGGACAUCAUAGAGGGUGAGAAUCCCGUAUUUGACCAUUAUUUUCAGCUUUGUGAUACACUUUCAAAGAGUCGGAUUGUUUGGGAAUGCAGUCCAAAAUGGGUGGUAAAUUUCAUCUAAAGCUAAAUAUUGGUGAGAGACCGAUAGCGAACAAGUACCGUGAGGGAAAGAUGAAAAGAACUUUGAAAAGAGAGUUAAACAGUACGUGAAAUUGUCAAAAGGGAAGCGUUUGACACCAGUGUUGUUUUCUCGAAAAUCAAUUAAAAAUGGCUCGAUUUUGUAUUGCUGAGACCUUAAAAGCUCACUGUACAUUUUUCGUGUCUUUUUUAAUGCACUUUUCGUUUAACAAGUCAACAUCAGUUUCUUUUGUUGUAAAAGGGUCAUUGGAAGGUGGCUUUCUUUUCGGAGAAAGUGUUUAUAGCCUUUGGCCUCUGCAAUCGGAGAGACUGAGGUCUGCAGCGUAGACUCCUUCGGGGUUAGAUACAUUUGUGCUAAGUUAUAGCCUUUUCAUAGACAACUUGUUGACUAUGAUUCAGUCAUUGUAGCUUACUCGCUUAUGCUAUUUUACCUACGCUUAGGAUGUUGAGUCGUAGAGCACGCAG